rnacentral:tRNA from 1 species
GCCGACGUAGCUCAGCUGGUAGAGCACCCGAUUUGUAAUCGGGCGGUCGCGAGUUCGAGUCUCGCCGUCGGCUC